rnacentral:rRNA from 1 species
GAUGAACGCUGGCGGCGUGCUUAACACAUGCAAGUCGAACGAUGAAGCCCAGCUUGCUGGGUGGAUUAGUGGCGAACGGGUAAGUAACACGUGAGUAACCUGCCCUUAACUCUGGGAUAAGCCUGGGAAACUGGGUCUAAUACCGGAUAGGAGCGUCCACCGCAUGGUGGGUGUUGGAAAGAUUUAUCGGUUUUGGAUGGACUCGCGGCCUAUCAGCUUGUUGGUGAGGUAAUGGCUCACCAAGGCGACGACGGGUAGCCGGCCUGAGAGGGUGACCGGCCACACUGGGACUGAGACACGGCCCAGACUCCUACGGGAGGCAGCAGUGGGGAAUAUUGCACAAUGGGCGCAAGCCUGAUGCAGCGACGCCGCGUGAGGGAUGACGGCCUUCGGGUUGUAAACCUCUUUCAGUAGGGAAGAAGCGAAAGUGACGGUACCUGCAGAAGAAGCACCGGCUAACUACGUG